rnacentral:rRNA from 1 species
UACAGAGGUCCCAAGCGUUGUUCGGAUUCACUGGGCGUAAAGGGUGCGUAGGUGGUAAGGCAAGUCAGGUGUGAAAUCUCCGGGCUCAACCCGGAAAUGGCAUUCGAAACUACCUUGCUAGAGGGUUUGAGGGGGGACUGGAAUACUUGGUGUAGCAGUGAAAUGCGUAGAUAUCAAGUGGAACACCAGUGGCGAAGGCGAGUCCCUGGAAAACUCCUGACACUGAGGCACGAAAAGCUAGGGGGAGCAAACAGG